rnacentral:rRNA from 1 species
AUUGAACGCUGGCGGCAGGCCUAACACAUGCAAGUCGAACGAGUGGCGGACGGGUGAGUAAUGUCUGGGACACUGCCUGAUGGUGGGGGAUAACUACUGGAAACGGUAGCUAAUACCGCAUACCAUCGGAUGUGCCCAGAUGGGAGUAGCUAGUAGGUGGGGUACCGGCUCACCUAGGCGACGAUCCCUAGCUGGUCGGAGAGGAUGACCAGCCACGCUGAAACUGGGACACGGUCCAGACUCCUGCGGGAGGCAGCAGUGGGGAAUAUUGCACAAUGGGCGCAGGCCUGAUGCAGCCAUGCCGCGUGUGUGAAGAAGGCCUUCGGGUUGUAAAGCACUUUCAGCGGGGAGGCGUUACCCGCAGAAGAAGCACCGGCUAACUCCGUGCCAGCAGCCGCGGUAAUAC